rnacentral:rRNA from 1 species
UAGGCGAUGGACAACAGGUUGAUAUUCCUGUACCACCUCUUUAUCGUUUGAGCAAUGGAGGGACGCAGAAGGAUAGAAGAAGCGUGCGAUUGGUUGUGCACGUCCAAGCAGUUAGGCUGAUAAGUAGGCAAAUCCGCUUAUCGUAAAGGCUGAGCUGUGAUGGGGAAGCUCCUUAUGGAGCGAAGUCUUUGAUUCCCCGCUGCCAAGAAAAGCUUCUAGCGAGAUAAAAGGUGCCUGUACCGCAAACCGACACAGGUAGGCGAGGAGAGAAUCCUAAGGUGUGCGAGAGAACUCUGGUUAAGGAACUCGGCAAAAUGACCCCGUAACUUCGGGAGAAGGGGUGCUUUCUUAACGGAAAGCCGCAGUGAAUAGGCCCAAGCGACUGUUUAGCAAAAACACAGCUCUCUGCGAAGCCGUAAGGCGAAGUAUAGGGGGUGACACCUGCCCGGUGCUGGAAGGUUAAGGAGAGGGGUUAGCGUAAGCGAAGCUCUGAACUGAAGCCCCAGUAAACGGCGGCCGUAACUAUAACGGUCCUAAGGUAGCGAAAUUCCUUGUCGGGUAAGUUCCGACCCGCACGAAAGGUGUAACGAUUUGGGCACUGUCUCAACCAGAGACUCGGUGAAAUUAUAGUACCUGUGAAGAUGCAGGUUACCCGCGACAGGACGGAAAGACCCCGUGGAGCUUUACUGUAGCCUGAUAUUGAAUUUUGGUACAGUUUGUACAGGAUAGGCGGGAGCCAUUGAAACCGGAGCGCUAGCUUCGGUGGAGGCGCUGGUGGGAUACCGCCCUGACUGUAUUGAAAUUCUAACCUACGGGUCUUAUCGACCCGGGAGACAGUGUCAGGUGGGCAGUUUGACUGGGGCGGUCGCCUCCUAAAGUGUAACGGAGGCGCCCAAAGGUUCCCUCAGAAUGGUUGGAAAUCAUUCGUAGAGUGCAAAGGCAUAAGGGAGCUUGACUGCGAGACCUACAAGUCGAGCAGGGACGAAAGUCGGGCUUAGUGAUCCGGUGGUUCCGCAUGGAAGGGCCAUCGCUCAACGGAUAAAAGCUACCCCGGGGAUAACAGGCUUAUCUCCCCCAAGAGUCCACAUCGACGGGGAGGUUUGGCACCUCGAUGUCGGCUCAUCGCAUCCUGGGGCUGUAGUCGGUCCCAAGGGUUGGGCUGUUCGCCCAUUAAAGCGGUACGCGAGCUGGGUUCAGAACGUCGUGAGACAGUUCGGUCCCUAUCCGUCGUGGGCGUAGGAAAUUUGAGAGGAGCUGUCCUUAGUACGAGAGGACCGGGAUGGACGCACCGCUGGUGUACCAGUUGUUCUGCCAAGGGCAUAGCUGGGUAGCUAUGUGCGGAAGGGAUAAGUGCUGAAAGCAUCUAAGCAUGAAGCCCCCCUCAAGAUGAGAUUUCCCAUAGCGUAAGCUAGUAAGAUCCCUGAAAGAUGAUCAGGUUGAUAGGUUCGAGGUGGAAGCAUGGUGACAUGUGGAGCUGACGAAUACUAAUAGAUCGAGGACUUAACCAU